rnacentral:rRNA from 1 species
AAUGAACGCUGGCGGCAUGCCUUACACAUGCAAGUCGAACGGUAACAGGCCUUCGGAUGCUGACGAGUGGCGAACGGGUGAGUAAUACAUCGGAACGUGCCUAGUAGUGGGGGAUAACUACUCGAAAGAGUGGCUAAUACCGCAUGAGAUCUACGGAUGAAAGCAGGGGAUCGCAAGACCUUGUGCUACUAGAGCGGCCGAUGGCAGAUUAGGUAGUUGGUGGGAUAAAAGCUUACCAAGCCGACGAUCUGUAGCUGGUCUGAGAGGACGAUCAGCCACACUGGGACUGAGACACGGCCCAGACUCCUACGGGAGGCAGCAGUGGGGAAUUUUGGACAAUGGGCGCAAGCCUGAUCCAGCAAUGCCGCGUGCAGGAUGAAGGCCUCCGGGUUGUAAACUGCUUUUGUACGGAACGAAAAGCCCUGGGUUAAUACCCUGGGGUCAUGACGGUACCGUAAGAAUAAGCACCGGCUAACUACGUGCCAGCCGCCGCGGUAACAC